ACGGGUGAGUAACGCGUAGGAAUCUACCCAGUAGUGGGGGACAACUUAGGGAAACUUAAGCUAAUACCGCAUACGCCCUAAGGGGGAAAGCGGGGGAUCUUCGGACCUCGCGCUAUUGGAUGAGCCUAAGCCCGAUUAGCUAGUUGGCGGGGUAAUAGCCCACCAAGGCGAUGAUCGGUAGCUGGUCUGAGAGGAUGAUCAGCCACACUGGGACUGAGACACGGCCCAGACUCC
rnacentral:rRNA from 1 species